GUCUACCUGCACUCUGCCAUGCUGAUACAGGACUAAACCUCUGAAACUGAUAAAAACUACAAAGCUUCUUGUGUACAAAGGUCUAUGCUGUGAAGAAAGGAUUCUGAAAGCCAAGAAAGCCAUACUAUAUAGAUUAGUCCAGGGGUUCAGAAAGCUUCAAGAGUGAUCCAUGCAGUUGACCCAACUUUCGACUUUCUCCUGAGCAUAUGACAUAUUGACAGCCAUGCAUUAACUAAAGGAGAUCAAAUAAUAGCUUCUAAGCACUUGGGACCAGAACUGUCAGUUCACAUCUCCCCUUUGCAAUGAGAUGAGACGAACAUCAUGAUAAGAUCAGGUUUUGAAGCUGGUGAAAGACAGCUGGUGCUGCACAGAAGCUGAAGAAAAGAAACCAUUUGCUGACUAUUGAAUUAAGCAACUAUGCCACAGUGGACAUUAAUCCUGUUCAAUGCUGCAGUCUUGGACGCCCAGUAUUAAGGUUCAAUAAACUAUUCUUGCUUAACUGAAA